UUAAUCUUUGGGUACAUGGGACUACAGUGUUUUCCUAAAAUAUAUGUCUUUUUUAAAUAGUAGUUACAUGUGGCCAGAGGCUAAAUAUAAGUAUGAUAAGAAAAACUCACUUUUCAGCCAAGAAGUUUGACUGAUUUUGAACAUUUCUUCAGAUGUGCUGAGGAAAUGUAAGAUUUCAGCUGCAGGCACAAAUGGGUUAACAAUGCUCUUUACUAAGCAUCAUUGUGAGCACACAUUGGCCUUGUACACACACACACACACACAUACUCUGAUACGGUUAAUAAAUUGACAUAAUUGUAAUCAAAUUUCAUGACAACGUUUUUCUCUUACAGCUACUGCGUCUCCCACAGACAACUUCCCGGUCAUCGCCGGGUGGAUAUGGAUCGUGUUGGGGGUAUCUGCUUUCAUCCUGAUUGUCCUGCUGGUCACAUGUGUCUUGCUGAGAAGAAGAUGUCGCAGAAGCAGAGGAGAAGAACCUAUCUAUGUAAACUCUCGUCAUGUGGCCAGCAAACAGUCUUCACCUCGGCCAGGGUUGCCCGGGGACAACCUGAAAAUGGUUUCUUCCUCCCAAAACCUCCACAACCCGAGUCCAGGCCAGGGAUACCACAAAGACAAGCGGAGAUUCAAACAGUGAGGAAGUCAUGGACCUCAUAAAUCGACUCAUCAUAUCUUUAAAAAGAAAAGAUAUUAUGUGCCACUAGAUGGCAGAAGGUGGAUACUGUCAAUGGGUAAAUUCAAAAUGUUCUUUUUUUAUUUUAUUUGUUCUAUUUCAGCCUUUCUAUAGUAAAUAAGCACAACGUGGAUUUUUUGUAUGAAUUAUAGAGAUUGGGAGUGACAUGUUGAUGUUUUUAUCAGCUUUGUGCUUAUUGUUAGAGUUUAUAUUAAAAUGGUAAGAUGCAGGUUUUGUAAUAUCUUGAAUGUUAGUAUAUGAUAUUGAUAGGUAUCCUAUUCUGUCAUAUUAUCAUUUUAAUUUUGCAUUUUUAAUACACAUCAAUAAUAAAUAAAUAAGUCAAAAUCAAGGGAACAUUAAUAUUAUUUUUCAGAUCCAACUGAUUUCCUUUUGUAUUAUUAUUUUAAACUUUGAAUGUAUUGUUGGUGCAAGCUUUUCCUUUAAACUUGAAAUGUGUAUGUUAUUGUAUGUAUUUCUUCUCAGGUAUUUCCUGUAAAAUAGAUAUUAUAAGCCACUAGAUGGCAGAAGGUAAUUGCUUUCUGCUUUUGUCAAUGGGUAAAUAAUGUUUGUUUUAUUUCCACUGGUAAUAUUUGAAUAUGUUGCCAACAGUAGCUUUAGUAUGAUAA
rnacentral:lncRNA from 1 species